GAUGCAAAGUAGGGAGGCCGGCGGGAAGGAUUCAGGGGUGGAAUUGCUGGAGUCACAGAUGGAGAGCAGGAGCCUUCUGGAAGGCUCACACGGAGGUGGAGCUGUGGGGAGGGGCUUGGACCAUUUCCUUGCAGGGCAAGUGAACGGAGGCAUAGGACACGCGGGAGCCAAAAUCAAAUUAAAAAGACCAGAAGUGGGGACACAGAGUGAAACUCGGCUCGCCGUCCCUAAGCCCCAGAGUGGUGUUCUUGAAGCACCCAGGGCUCGAUCUAAAAAUCAGACCGUGAACUCAGACUCCAGCAUUGCGAUGUGGGCUUCCCACUCGCACAGCACAUGGUCACUGAAACCAUCCCAAGGGAAUUUAAAGCAGCAGGACCCCGGCGUUACUGUUUGGUUGUUGCCUGGAGCCAGUGGAACAUCCGACCCAAGCAUGGAGGCUGCUCAGCGCUUCUGCAUGAAUUAAAUGAGGUAGUACAAUGGGGCAUGUGGACUAGGAAGCCGUCACUGCGUUGGACGUUGGCCUUGCAAUGCAAACACCACCCCAUCCCACUCAGGACACGCCUGGGAAGGCACUCAGCUCAUUGAAAGAGCCCAUCAGUUUUGCUUCUUCUCUGUGACCCAUUCUGGGGAGCUGUGACCAACAGCACAGCGGUAACUUCAGGCCCGCAAGAAGAGGGUGAAAAGUAGAUACAGUUAGCUCAUCAACUUGGAAAUGCCUUCAACAUGAAACGAAGAGUCAUCCUCAAAUUUUGCAGGAAAGAAGAGCCCCCUUUUGUUUGGACCUCCGAGACGUCUCACUUUCACCAUUCAUUCGGGGCGCUGGGAGGCGGAGGCCUCAGCAUUUCCUAACUUAUUUUUUUAUGAAGCACUCGCCUCACCCAGUAGACUGAGAGUGUGCUCCCCGUUGACCUCGGCUCAGAAAGAAGGGAAGUCCGAUGCUAAGUUCCUCUUCCUCUACCACGGGCUCCACGCACCCCAAGACCCCCCGGGAGGUGCCGAUCCUCCUUCGGAACCGGAGCACAAGGACCGUCUUUCAUGCUCUUUUCUUGGUAGAACCUGACCUGUUGCAGAGCCAAGCACCCCGCCUCUGUCUUGGGCACGCGACAGUCAGCCCUCGGGAACUUAGGUCCAGCCCAGUAAUGGACUUGUUGGCAUCCCCUCAUCUCCCAGUUAUGAAUUCCUUGGGUCCCGUGUGUCUCUACGUUCCAGUUGGUAGCACCGAACGAGUCUGCUGAAUGGAUUUUCCCUUAGUUUGAAUCCCUGCCUGGUUUGGCCAUAAGAAAACAAAUACCAUUCACAGGGUGUGUGACAUAGACGCUGGUGCUCCCCAAUUAUUCCAUGAGAUCCUGCAUAUUUUCCAGCCUUCCUGGCACUUAGCAUGGGGCCAGGUGACGAAUUCAAGUUCACGGGCACAAGGGGGAGUGAAGCAAUGCACAGCAUUUGCCACCCGAGGACACCGAGGAGGUUGAAAGCUGCACGCAUCUGCCGCGGUGGCUGGAAGCGAAGAACACUGAGACGGCGAAGGGGCCACAGAGAGCAUCUCUAAUGCGCACCACUGCUGAAAGGCGGCCACCAGAGAGGACGGGCUGAGCUGUAUCGGACUGCUCCGAAAGUGACAAAUAAGCCUCUGGCUUUGGAGGUUUGCUGCCACAGCAAAACUUAGCUUUACCCUGACCAACCACGGGUGAGUUUCACAAGCUGAAAGUGUAAGGAGGAGACAAGCUUGUGGAAUAUGACAGCAUCACUGGCUAGCAACAUCUUCUGAUAUCCUGGAAUUAGUCGGGAUGGGCCAUGGAUCUGGAUCUGAAACUUUUAAAUCGAAAUGGGGACAAGAGCAUCCCUAUGACGUCAUUGGAGAAUCUGAGGCAUAGAGAAGCGAAGGGAUGGGCUUCUCGGAUUAGGAGUGAGCGAAGCAUGAGAAGAGAGACCUCAAUUUCCCCUGGGCUGUUUCCCACCCUUCCUAGUUGGGAUUUCUCCUCCCCCAGCAUUUGUGCCCUUUGGGUUAGUAUUCUAGGCAUGAGACUGACCUAUUUCGAAGUGGGACAGGUUGGCAUCUCUAAAGCGGGUUCCACAGAAGACUCUGUUUUGAAGCAACAUGGUGGUAAAGAGGUUAACAUUGAAUGGGAGUUUUACUUCCAGGCAGGGAUCUCGAGCCCUGGCGGAAAGACUGCAGCUGCCCUGUGGCCCAGAUAAUGCAACAUCGGGCUGAGCAAGGACAUCUGAGAACAUUCUGUUCUCCUCCCCCGAGACCAAUUAAAAUCUGGAGGCAUCUUUCUUGUUGAUCGAGCUGACUAACUAAUUGAAACGGAAUUGUGAUAUUUUCAUCAGCUUUCUCUUAUCCCUCUUGGCCUUGCCAGCAGAGAGCAAGCUGAAUGAUCAGAGAGUUUCAAGCAUGUGAGGCCCAGGGAACGGAACCCCUCCCACCGUAAACCACUACAUUACCACGGAACAAGGUUCGAAAAAGGAUGAUGCGGGGUUGGGAGUAGGGCGAUACGCUCAAAUCUCAGUCUCAGUUCAUCCAGAUACCAAAGAUACCAUCUUCGGGAUUCCUGAUGAACCAUAAAGCUGUCCUUCAGCAGUUGCUGCUCCAAUAAACCAGCUUCUGACCUCUGCCUUCCUAACGAACAUCCCUCUGCCUGACUGGGGAAGCUCCUAGAAACAAAGAACCAAACGCCUCUGAGGCCCAACAAGAUCCCUUUCCUUCCAUUGAGCUAGAAUGUAUUUCCUCGGCACGUGCAAAUGGCCUAGUGGUUAAUCUUAGCAAUUGUCCCAAAGGACAUCCAAGCCUCUGGGAAUGGGUUACAUGAUUGAGAUUGCAGGACCUUUUUCUGCUUCAGCAUGAAGACCUGCAUGUUAGCAUUUGUGAGGAGAGCUCAAGAUGGGGGGAAGUCCUCUUGGCUCCUGAUCUAAGGAAGAGCUGCAUCUUAAGCAUUGGUAGAAUUGCUCACGUGUCCAGUGUGAGGUGGCCUUGGCUGACAAGCUAUCAAAAUAAAUAAAUAACAAGAAAAU
rnacentral:lncRNA from 1 species